GUAUUUACUUCAGCAGUGCGUACACUAAAAUUGGAAUGAUACAGAGAUUAGCAUGGCCCCUGCGCAAGAAUGACAUGCAAAUCUGUAAAGAGUUCCAAGUUUAA
ensembl:snRNA U6 U6 spliceosomal RNA